AAAAAAGGUAAGCUACUAAGAGCGAAUGGUGGAUGCCUUGACUGGUAAAGGCGAUGAAGGACGUACUAGACUGCGAUAAGCUACGGGGAGCUGUCAAGAAGCUUUGAUCCGUAGAUUUCCGAAUGGGGCAACCCAAUGUAUAGAGAUAUACAUUACCUAUAUAGGAGCGAACGAGGGGAAUUGAAACAUCUUAGUACCCUCAGGAAAAGAAAUCAAUAGAGAUUGCGUCAGUAGCGGCGAGCGAAAGCGUAAGAGGGCAAACCCAGUGCUUGCACUGGGGGUUGUAGGACUGCAAUGUGCAAGAGGUGAGUUUAGCAGAACAUUCUGGAAAGUAUAGCCAUAGAGGGUGAUAGUCCCGUAUGCGAAAAACAAACCUUAGCUAGCAGUAUCCUGAGUAGGGCGGGACACGAGAAAUCCUGUCUGAAGCUGGGUCGACCACGAUCCAACCCUAAAUACUAAUACCAGAUCGAUAGUGCACAAGUACCGUGAGGGAAAGGUGAAAAGAACUGAGGUGAUCAGAGUGAAAUAGAACCUGAAACCAUUUGCUUACAAUCAUUCAGAGCACUAUGUAGCAAUACAGUGUGAUGGACUGCCUUUUGCAUAAUGAGCCUGCGAGUUGUGGUGUCUGGCAAGGUUAAGCAAACGCGAAGCCGUAGCGAAAGCGAGUCUGAAUAGGGCGCUUAGUCAGAUGCUGCAGACCCGAAACGAAGUGAUCUAUCCAUGAGCAAGUUGAAGCUAGUGUAAGAACUAGUGGAGGACUGAACCCAUAGGCGUUGAAAAGCCCCGGGAUGACUUGUGGAUAGGGGUGAAAGGCCAAUCAAACUUCGUGAUAGCUGGUUCUCUCCGAAAUAUAUUUAGGUAUAGCGUUGUGUCGUAAUAUAAGGGGGUAGAGCACUGAAUGGGCUAGGGCAUACACCAAUGUACCAAACCCU
rnacentral:rRNA from 1 species